GGAUUAGAUACCCUGGUAGUCCACGCCGUAAACGAUGGGUGCUAGGUGUGGGAGAUAAUCCACUUCUUCCGUGCCGCAGCUAACGCAUUAAGCACCCCGCCUGGGGACUACGGCCGCAAGGCUAAAACUCAAAGGAAUUGACGGGGGCCCGCACAAGCAGCGGAGCAUGUGGCUUAAUUCGAAGCAACGCGAAGAACCUUACCAGGGCUUGAAAUAUACCGGACCGCCACGGAAACGUGGUUUCUUUUAGUCGGUAUACAGGUGGUGCAUGGUUGUCGUCAGCUCGUGCCG
rnacentral:rRNA from 1 species